rnacentral:misc_RNA from 1 species
UCUUGAGUAUCAACCUCUUCCGUGAGUCCAGCUGAUUCCAUUGUCUUCUUAACCCAUUCCUUUAAUGGAUCUUCGUUCAAAUCAAGCCUUAGAAGUCCAGCAAAUAGCCCACCGGCGAAGGCAACUGGCUCCUUAAGAGCUUCUUUGAUAACGGGAUCCUCAACAGGAUUGAAGAAAAAUGCGGAGAUGCCAUUUGUAGAUUUAUUGCAGCCGAUACGAAGAUAAUUACCGCGCAUAGGUUUGUUGGAUGAUAAAAUCGAAUGAUGAUUCUGUGCCUUCAAUUUCCCCAUUUCUCCAAACAGAACGCUCGUAGCCGAAGAGGAGUGAAGAAUAAGAGCGGCCAUGGGUAAUCUCUCUGAUGACGCUAAUGGGGCUGUUUCUG